CACUCCUGCGGGAGGCAGCAGUGGGGAAUUUUGGACAAUGGGCGAAAGCCUGAUCCAGCAAUGCCGCGUGAGUGAAGAAGGCCUUCGGGUUGUAAAGCUCUUUUGUCAGGGAAGAAACGGUGAAAGCUAAUAUCUUUUGCUAAUGACGGUACCUGAAGAAUAAGCACCGGCUAACUACGUGCCAGCAGCCGCGGUAAUACGUAGGGUGCAAGCGUUAAUCGGAAUUACUGGGCGUAAAGCGUGCGCAGGCGGUUUUGUAAGUCUGAUGUGAAAUCCCCGGGCUCAACCUGGGAAUUGCAUUGGAGACUGCAAGGCUAGAAUCUGGCGGAGGGGGGUAGAAUUCCACGGGUAGCAGUGAAAUGCGUAGGUAUGUGGAGGAACACCGAUGGCGAAGGCAGCCCCCUGGGUCAAGAUUGACGUUCAUGCACGAAAGCGUGGGGAGCAAACAGGAUUAGAUACCCUUGUAGUCCC
rnacentral:rRNA from 1 species